GUCGUUCCCUCGGCUGUGGACCGGGCGGCACGCACGCGGUGCAGGGUAACAUGGCGGAUGCGGAAGUAAUUAUUUUGCCAAAGAAACAUAAGAAGAAAAAGGAGCGGAAGUCAUUGCCAGAAGAAGAUGUAGCCGAAAUACAACAUGCUGAAGAAUUUCUUAUCAAACCUGAAUCCAAAGUUGCUAAGUUGGACACGUCUCAGUGGCCCCUUUUGCUAAAGAAUUUUGAUAAGCUGAAUGUAAGGACAACACACUAUACACCUCUUGCAUGUGGUUCAAAUCCUCUGAAGAGAGAGAUUGGGGACUAUAUCAGGU
rnacentral:lncRNA from 1 species